rnacentral:rRNA from 1 species
GGAUAGCCACUGGAAAUGGUGGGUAAUACCGUAUAAUCCCCGCGGGGGAAAGAUUUAUCGCUAUUAGAUGAGCCUAUGUCGGAUUAGCUAGUUGGUGGGGUAAUGGCCUACCAAGGCAGUGAUCUGUAGCUGGUCUGAGAGGAUGAUCAGCCACACUGGAACUGAGACACGGUCCAGACUCCUACGGGAGGCAGCAGUGGGGAAUAUUGGACAAUGGGCGCAAGCCUGAUCCAGCUAUGCCGCGUGAGUGAGGAAGGCCUUAGGGUUGUAAAACUCUCUCAGUAGGGAAGAUAAUG